GUGGGACUCAAAUGUGGGGGCGCUCUCCCUGCUGUGAGAGAGGAAAGUGCUCCGAUAUUUGGGUCUCCC
rfam:Erinaceus europaeus unplaced genomic scaffold scaffold01177, whole genome shotgun sequence